UGGAGCCCCAGUCCCCCGCUCUCCAGCUGAGUGAGCUUGCCUAGGCUGCUUAAACUCUCCAAGCCCCCGUUUCCUUGCCUGUUGGAGCCAUUAAGGAUAGCAAGAAGAGAAAUGGGUGGGAAGAAGAGGGAACUGCCAGCAGGAAGCUACACCCAGCAAAUCCAGAGAGAAAACCAACCUGCUGCUAUUGGCAGUGCAACCUGAAGCAGGUAAAGAGCGGGAGGCAACUUAUGUUGGGGUCUUCUGUGGGCCGGGCACCGUGCAUACGUCAGGCGCACACACACAUCGACCUGCAGACUCGGCGUCUUCUCCAGGGAUCACGUGCAGGAGACGGUCCCAGCUUCCCGCAGGGCUGGGGCUGCUCUCCCACCGCCUUACCUCUGAGACAGGGCUGGGGUCAGGAUGGAGCUGGGGUCCAGGGCGCGAGGUGCCCAUCAGGGAGGCAGGCGCCACCCCGGGCGGGAUGACAGACUCCAGAAGCCCUCCCUGAACAAAGACUGGGUGGGAGGCGGCCUGGUGUGUCCCCACCCCGCCUCCCCCAGCGCCUGCUGAGCCGCGACCACAGACAGCGAGGCGGAGCGAGCAUGGCGGGGGCCCCGGCCGCUCUGCUGCCCCUCGUCCUCCAGCUCACGAGCGUGGCCGUGGCCUCCGCGACGGACGGAGGUAAGUCGGGGCGCUGAGGGCCUGGGGGCGGCCG
rnacentral:lncRNA from 1 species